AUUGAACGCUGGCGGCAUGCUUUACACAUGCAAGUCGAACGGUAACAGGCCGCAUGGUGCUGACGAGUGGCGAACGGGUGAGUAAUGCAUCGGAACGUGCCCAGUCGCGGGGGAUAACUACUCGAAAGAGUAGCUAAUACCGCAUACGAUCUAUGGAUGAAAGCGGGGGUCCGUAAGGCCUCGCGCGAUUGGAGCGGCCGAUGUCAGAUUAGGUAGUUGGUGGGGUAAAGGCUCACCAAGCCAACGAUCUGUAGCUGGUAUGAGAGGACGACCCGCCACACUGUGAGUGAGACAGGGCCCAGACUCCUACGGGAGGCAGCGGUGGGGAAUUUUGGACAAGGGGCGCAAGCCUGAUCCAGCAAUGCCGCGUGCAGGAAGAAGGCCUUCGGGUUGGAAACUGCUUUUGUACGGAACGAAACGGCUCUGGUUAAUACCCGGGGCUAAUGACGGUACCGUAAGAAUAAGCACCGGCUAACUACGUG
rnacentral:rRNA from 1 species